rnacentral:rRNA from 1 species
AACAAACGCUGGCGGCGUGCAUAACACAUGCAAGUCUAACGGGAAUGUCGGCUUCGGCUGGCUAGUACCGUGGCGAACGGGUGAGUAACACGUGGGUAAUCUAACCUCGAGUUUGGGAUAACCUUGCGAAAGCGGGGCUAAUACCGAAUAAGACCACGCUCUGCUCGCAGAGUGCGGUAAAAGGCGGCCUCUUCUUGAAAGCUGUCACUUGAGGAUGAGCCCGCGGCCUAUUAGCUAGUUGGUGGGGUAAUGGCCUACCAAGGCAACGAUGGGUAGCCGGCCUGAGAGGGUGUACGGCCACACUGGCACUGAGAUACGGGCCAGACUCCUACGGGUGGCAG